GUUCACUACGGCGUUUUGUUCUAGGAAAAGUGUGUUCCAAUUAUGCGACGAAUUCGCGGUCGCUUUAAUCUGCAACUCCUUUUUUUGUUUUGUACGGAAAAUAGUACCUAAAUCAAUGUCUUCCAACGAUGUUUUCGCCAUCCCGGGAAGAAGAUGCAACAUUCUACCGUCUAAUACAGAGCCAUCCAAUUCAGUGUACGCUUUUAUAGCAUGUUCCGGCAUGAGAAAAGUUACUAUACCAAAUCCUUUUGGCUUUCUAGUGACUUUGUCUACAGGUAAGUUCACUUCACUCAAAGGACCUGAUUUUUCAAAGCCAACAAUUGAUUAAAAGGAGAUUUGCAAUAAACAAGAUUAUAAAGUAGUUAGACACAGAGUUUAAGUCUUCAUUAAAAGGAAAUUUCUGCCAACUUUUACGAUACAUCAGCGCAAUAAUAUUCUUACCAUAUUUUUCAAACAGUUUUCUCACGUCAUCUUCUGUAGUUGUAUAAGUUAGAUUUCUGAGAAAUAUCCUCCCGGAUUCUGCUAUACUCUCUUCAUUCUUUAACGCCUCUUCUUGUUUUUUCCACUUAAUAUUAAUCUUAUCCGAAUUUUCACUAAAUUCUUCUUUUUUCUCAUACUUGGACACAAAUAUUUGUUUGCCAUCU